rnacentral:pre_miRNA from 1 species
AGUGGAAUAGCUGGGUCAAAUGGUUGCUCCACUGCCAAUUUUCCAAGGAAUCUAAACACUGCUUUCCAGAUUGGCUGCACCAAUUUGCAGUCCCACCAGCAAU